AGAACGAGCGCUGGCGGCGUGGAUAACACAUGCAAGUCGAACGAGGCGCUUGCGCCUAGUGGCGAACGGGUGAGUAACACGUGAGCAACCUGCCCUUGGCUCUGGGAUAGCCUCCGGAAACGGGGAUUAAUACCGGACAUGACCUUCUCCUGCAUGGGGGAGGGUGGAAAGUUUUUCGGCCAGGGAGGGCUCGCGGCCUAUCAGCUUGUUGGGGGGUAACGCCCACCAAGGCGACGACGGGUAG
rnacentral:rRNA from 1 species